CCUACGGGAGGCAGCAGUCGAGAAUCAUUCACAAUGGGGGAAACCCUGAUGGUGCGACGCCGCGUGGGGGAAUGAAGGUCUUCGGAUUGUAAAUCCCUGUCAUGUGGGAGCAAAUUAUAACGAUAGUACCACAAUAGGAAGCGACGGCUAACUCUGUGCCAGCAGCGGUGGUAAUACGGAGGGCUCAAGCGUUGUUCGGUAUCACUGGGCGUAAGGUGUGAGUAGGCUGUUGCGUAAGUCGUGUGGGAAAGGGGAGGGCUCAACCCGCGGACGGUACAUGAUACUGUGAGACUAGAGUAAUGGAGGGGCAACCGGAAUUCUGGGUGUAGCAGUGAAAUGCGUAGAUAUAGAGAGGAACACUAGUGGCGAAGGCGGGUUCCUGGACAUUAACUGACGCUGAGGCACGAAGGCCAGGGGAGCGAAAAGGAUUAGAUACCCCAGUAGUC
rnacentral:rRNA from 1 species